GUUCCUACAGCCUCUGCGCUCAUGGACUCUUCACUUGUGCCAUAAAGCUCGAGGUCAUCUCUUUUCAGACCUUUGAUAUUCUGUAGUCGCUGUAACGAAUUACAAAUAUGCGAUCCACAGGCAGUAUUUAAUACCUAAAUAUCAUAGUCUAAGCCACUCAAUAAAAAAUAGGUCUAUAUCAUAUAUACACCUUUUGGUGCUACACUUGCAUCCUGCUUCAAUCUUGUAAUAUAAUUCUUAUAAUUAUACUCCCAAUAUCCAAAUUUACCACAAAUAAUAUCUUUAUGGAUAUCUAUUGCCUUCUUAUUAGUACUAACCAAUCCAAGAUCAGAAAUAUUCAGAAUAUUGGAG
rnacentral:lncRNA from 1 species